rnacentral:rRNA from 1 species
AGAGCGAACGCUGGCGGCAGGCUUAACACAUGCAAGUCGAGCGCCCCGCAAGGGGAGCGGCAGACGGGAGAGUAACACGUGGGAACGUACCUUUCGGUUCGGAACAACCCAGGGAAACUUGGGCUAAUACCGGAUACGUCCGUAAGGAGAAAGAUUUAUCGCCGAAAGAUCGGCCCGCGUCUGAUUAGCUAGUUGGUGAGGUAACGGCUCACCAAGGCGACGAUCAGUAGCUGGUCUGAGAGGAUGAUCAGCCUCACUGGGACUGAGACACGGCCCAGACUCCUACGGGAGGCAGCAGUGGGGAAUAUUGGACAAUGGGCGCAAGCCUGAUCCAGCCAUGCCGCGUGGGUGAUGAAGGCCCUAGGGUUGUAAAGCCCUUUCGGCGGGGAAGAUAAUGACGGUACCGCAGAAGAAGCCCCGGCUAACUUCGCGCCAGCAGCCGC